rnacentral:rRNA from 1 species
GAUGAACGCUGGCGGCGUGCCUAAUACAUGCAAGUCGAGCGAACAGACGAGGAGCUUGCUCCUCUGACGUUAGCGGCGGACGGGUGAGUAACACGUGGAUAACCUACCUAUAAGACUGGGAUAACUUCGGGAAACCGGAGCUAAUACCGGAUAAUAUAUUGAACCGCAUGGUUCAAUAGUGAAAGACGGUUUUGCUGUCACUUAUAGAUGGAUCCGCGCCGCAUUAGCUAGUUGGUAAGGUAACGGCUUACCAAGGCGACGAUGCGUAGCCGACCUGAGAGGGUGACCGGCCACACUGGAACUGAGACACGGCCCAGACUCCUACGGGAGGCAGCAGUAGGGAAUCUUCCGCAAUGGGCGAAAGCCUGACGGAGCAACGCCGCGUGAGUGAUGAAGGUCUUCGGAUCGUAAAACUCUGUUAUUAGGGAAGAACAAAUGUGUAAGUAACUAUGCACGUCUUGACGGUACCUAAUCAGAAAGCCACGGCUAACUACGUG